ensembl:lincRNA
CUCAGCUGCAGGGCAUUGGGCAGCCAAUUAAAAGAAGCUAACAUGCAAGUAACAGUGGGGCACUUGUUCACUAAACCUUAUUGCCUGAGUGAAAGGCUAAGCCCCAGAAAGCUCCGCUCCACACCUGUUCUUUCUUGCCUCCUUUGUGAUCCAACUGUGAUGCCCUGGCUGGCUGUGCACCGUGACUGCUGUGGGAGAAAGAGAGCACACCCGGGUGAACAGCAGGCAGAGACGGAGAAACAGGCUCCCCGUUGAGCAAGGAGUCCUGAUAUGAGCCCACAUCCCAGGGCCCUGGGAUCAUGACCUCAGCAAAAGGUAGACACUUAACAGACUGAACCACCCAGGUGCCCCAGGAAACUUGAUUUUAUAUUUUUAACAAGAACUGAUGUUGAGAGUACACCUAGAAUAAAGCAAAUGUGGAAGUAGAGAAAGAAAUAUGGCAGAGACUGGCUGGUGUUUCAUUAAGCAAACCUAACCCUUGUUUGUAAAACACAGCAAGACCCCAUUUUCCAGGUUGUCUUGUAGUUAGGCAAUGUGACUUACUUCUGUUCAGUGUAUGAGUAUGGACAUCUUGUGUAUGCUUCCAUGCUUGGAUCAAAUAUUCUCCCAUACAUAGUUUUUUGUUUGUUUGUUUGUUUGUUUUUUCCUGAACACACUAUGUGUUGAUACCCAUGAAAAUAUUGAAAUCCUUUUGUUGAAGAUGACAGAGUUCCUGUCUCAUCAGGGUCCUAAAUACUUCAUGAAACUGGGGGACCUCAUUUCUCUGUUUUCAAUUUAUUUGAACGUGAAAUGUGUAUUUUCUUGCCUUGCAUGUUUUUCUUUACUCUUAAAACUGCUAUAAUAUCCUUUACAAAAUACAAAAAUGAAUACAAUGAAGUAGAUUAUUGCCAUGAAUAAAACUUGAAAUGUAGGACAUUGGUUUAGAAGUCAGGUAGUGGUCAGUGAGGAAGAUGAUGGGAGAUAUUGGAAAGAUGGAGUACCUAAUGAGGGAAAAUUCUCCUUGUAUUUCUCCAUGUUUCUGCAUUAUCUGUGCCUUAUGAGCAAUAGAAAUAAUAGACCAUAAUAAAUACAGAGAAUAUAUCUGCCUUUCAUAUUGCAUUCUCAUCUUUAUCCCCCUAGAGAUAUUUGUUACAUUGCAGAGUAGUAAACCCAGAUAUAUCUUUUUUUCUUUCUCCUGGAGAAUAUUGCUUACUUUCCAGAGCAAAAGAUAAAGUCUCUACUUCCAGAAAGGAAGAUGGGCAGUUGUUCUGGAAGCCCUAGGUAAGUACUAAGUCUCAUAAUUUUGAGGUUCUUUUCCUAGUGUGUAACACUACUGCAUGUACACGUGAACAUCAGGCUCCCAUCACAUCACCCUGUGGAGAAAUGUCAUGUCAUGAUGCUUUGUCAAUGGUCUGUUUUCUGGCCCAGAGAUUUGUAUUUUCUGUCAGAAUAUUGAAUAUACAAAUCUUCAUAGAUCCAUGCUAUACAGUUGCAAAAUACUUGGUAAAAUUAUUCCCUUUGACAUUUUUUUUUUAAAGAUUUUAUUUAUUUAUUUGUCAGAGAGAGAGAGAGCAAGAGCGAGCACAGGCAGAGUGGCAGGCAGAGGCAGAGGGAGAAGCAGGCUCCCUGCUGAGCAAGGAGCCCGAUGUAGGACUCAAUCCCAGGACGCUGGGAUCAUGACCUGAGCCAAAGGCAGCUACUUAACCAACUGAGCCACCCAGGCGUCCCUCCCUUUGACAUUUGACUGAGUCUUUUCUGAACUUGUAGAUUUGAGGAUGGGGUUAUUAGAAAUAACAAUUAUUACUGGCUGCUUUUAACUAAAGUAGAAAGACAUGAGC